UUAAGCGACUAAGCGUACACGGUGGAUGCCCUGGCAGUCAGAGGCGAUGAAGGACGUGCUAAUCUGCGAUAAGCGUCGGUGAGGUGAUAUGAACCGUUAUAACCGGCGAUUUCCGAAUGGGGAAACCCAGUGUGUUUCGACACACUAUCAUUAACUGAAUCCAUAGGUUAAUGAGGCGAACCGGGGGAACUGAAACAUCUAAGUACCCCGAGGAAAAGAAAUCAACCGAGAUUCCCCCAGUAGCGGCGAGCGAACGGGGAGGAGCCCAGAGCCUGAAUCAGUGUGUGUGUUAGUGGAAGCGUCUGGAAAGGCGCGCGAUACAGGGUGACAGCCCCGUACACAAAAAUGCACAUAUUGUGAGCUCGAUGAGUAGGGCGGGACACGUGGUAUCCUGUCUGAAUAUGGGGGGACCAUCCUCCAAGGCUAAAUACUCCUGACUGACCGAUAGUGAACCAGUACCGUGAGGGAAAGGCGAAAAGAACCCCGGCGAGGGGAGUGAAAAAGAACCUGAAACCGUGUACGUACAAGCAGUGGGAGCCUCUUAAUGGGGUGACUGCGUACCUUUUGUAUAAUGGGUCAGCGACUUAUAUUCUGUAGCAAGGUUAACCGAAUAGGGGAGCCGAAGGGAAACCGAGUCUUAACUGGGCGUUAAGUUGCAGGGUAUAGACCCGAAACCCGGUGAUCUAGCCAUGGGCAGGUUGAAGGUUGGGUAACACUAACUGGAGGACCGAACCGACUAAUGUUGAAAAAUUAGCGGAUGACUUGUGGCUGGGGGUGAAAGGCCAAUCAAACCGGGAGAUAGCUGGUUCUCCCCGAAAGCUAUUUAGGUAGCGCCUCGUGAAUUCAUCUCCGGGGGUAGAGCACUGUUUCGGCAAGGGGGUCAUCCCGACUUACCAACCCGAUGCAAACUGCGAAUACCGGAGAAUGUUAUCACGGGAGACACACGGCGGGUGCUAACGUCCGUCGUGAAGAGGGAAACAACCCAGACCGCCAGCUAAGGUCCCAAAGUCAUGGUUAAGUGGGAAACGAUGUGGGAAGGCCCAGACAGCCAGGAUGUUGGCUUAGAAGCAGCCAUCAUUUAAAGAAAGCGUAAUAGCUCACUGGUCGAGUCGGCCUGCGCGGAAGAUGUAACGGGGCUAAACCAUGCACCGAAGCUGCGGCAGCGACGCUUAUGCGUUGUUGGGUAGGGGAGCGUUCUGUAAGCCUGUGAAGGUGUGCUGUGAGGCAUGCUGGAGGUAUCAGAAGUGCGAAUGCUGACAUAAGUAACGAUAAAGCGGGUGAAAAGCCCGCUCGCCGGAAGACCAAGGGUUCCUGUCCAACGUUAAUCGGGGCAGGGUGAGUCGACCCCUAAGGCGAGGCCGAAAGGCGUAGUCGAUGGGAAACAGGUUAAUAUUCCUGUACUUGGUGUUACUGCGAAGGGGGGACGGAGAAGGCUAUGUUGGCCGGGCGACGGUUGUCCCGGUUUAAGCGUGUAGGCUGGUUUUCCAGGCAAAUCCGGAAAACCAAGGCUGAGGCGUGAUGACGAGGCACUACGGUGCUGAAGCGACAAAUGCCCUGCUUCCAGGAAAAGCCUCUAAGCAUCAGGUAACAUCAAAUCGUACCCCAAACCGACACAGGUGGUCAGGUAGAGAAUACCAAGGCGCUUGAGAGAACUCGGGUGAAGGAACUAGGCAAAAUGGUGCCGUAACUUCGGGAGAAGGCACGCUGAUAUGUAGGUGAAGCGACUUGCUCGUGGAGCUGAAAUCAGUCGAAGAUACCAGCUGGCUGCAACUGUUUAUUAAAAACACAGCACUGUGCAAACACGAAAGUGGACGUAUACGGUGUGACGCCUGCCCGGUGCCGGAAGGUUAAUUGAUGGGGUUAGCGGCAACGCGAAGCUCUUGAUCGAAGCCCCGGUAAACGGCGGCCGUAACUAUAACGGUCCUAAGGUAGCGAAAUUCCUUGUCGGGUAAGUUCCGACCUGCACGAAUGGCGUAAUGAUGGCCAGGCUGUCUCCACCCGAGACUCAGUGAAAUUGAACUCGCUGUGAAGAUGCAGUGUACCCGCGGCAAGACGGAAAGACCCCGUGAACCUUUACUAUAGCUUGACACUGAACAUUGAGCCUUGAUGUGUAGGAUAGGUGGGAGGCUUUGAAGUGUGGACGCCAAUCUGCAUGGAGCCGACCUUGAAAUACCACCCUUUAAUGUUUGAUGUUCUAACGUUGGCCCGUAAUCCGGGUUGCGGACAGUGUCUGGUGGGUAGUUUGACUGGGGCGGUCUCCUCCUAAAGAGUAACGGAGGAGCACGAAGGUUGGCUAAUCCUGGUCGGACAUCAGGAGGUUAGUGCAAUGGCAUAAGCCAGCUUGACUGCGAGCGUGACGGCGCGAGCAGGUGCGAAAGCAGGUCAUAGUGAUCCGGUGGUUCUGAAUGGAAGGGCCAUCGCUCAACGGAUAAAAGGUACUCCGGGGAUAACAGGCUGAUACCGCCCAAGAGUUCAUAUCGACGGCGGUGUUUGGCACCUCGAUGUCGGCUCAUCACAUCCUGGGGCUGAAGUAGGUCCCAAGGGUAUGGCUGUUCGCCAUUUAAAGUGGUACGCGAGCUGGGUUUAGAACGUCGUGAGACAGUUCGGUCCCUAUCUGCCGUGGGCGCUGGAGAACUGAGGGGGGCUGCUCCUAGUACGAGAGGACCGGAGUGGACGCAUCACUGGUGUUCGGGUUGUCAUGCCAAUGGCACUGCCCGGUAGCUAAAUGCGGAAGAGAUAAGUGCUGAAAGCAUCUAAGCACGAAACUUGCCCCGAGAUGAGUUCUCCCUGACUCCUUGAGAGUCCUGAAGGAACGUUGAAGACGACGACGUUGAUAGGCCGGGUGUGUAAGCGCAGCGAUGCGUUGAGCUAACCGGUACUAAUGAACCGUGAGGCUUAACCUU
rnacentral:rRNA from 1 species